rnacentral:rRNA from 1 species
AGUGAACGCUGGCGGUAGGCCUAACACAUGCAAGUCGAACGGCAGCACAGUAAGAGCUUGCUCUUACGGGUGGCGAGUGGCGGACGGGUGAGGAAUACAUCGGAAUCUACUUUUUCGUGGGGGAUAACGUAGGGAAACUUACGCUAAUACCGCAUACGACCUACGGGUGAAAGCAGGGGAUCUUCGGACCUUGCGCGAUUGAAUGAGCCGAUGUCGGAUUAGCUAGUUGGCGGGGUAAAGGCCCACCAAGGCGACGAUCCGUAGCUGGUCUGAGAGGAUGAUCCGCCACACUGGAACUGAGACACGGUCCAGACUCCUACGGGAGGCAGCAGUGGGGAAUAUUGGGCAAUGGGCGCAAGCCUGAUCCAGCCAUACCGCGUAGAUGAAGAACGCCUUCGGGUUGGAAAGCCCUGUUGUUGGGAAAGAAAAGCAGCAGGUUAAUACCCCGCUGUUCUGACGGUACCCAAAGAAUAAGCACCGGCUAACUUCGUG